CAUAAGUUCAGAGGUUAGUGUCUGAUGUUCAAAGUAAGUGCCUAUCUGCUGGAACCAAAGCAAUUAUAACAGCAUAGUCUUAGGCUCUUCACAUGAAUUUGUCAAAAAAAAAAGUGUUUGGAUCUUUCUUUUUCUUUGGCAUCACUACAACUACAACACUUGAACUUGGGUGGGGACCUUUAAAUGCAGGUUCCAAACCACCAUACUUCACAUAGAAUCUCUAAAAAAACCACGAUGAAUACCAAAAGGUAGAUGAUCUUUCAUUUCUACGGAACUAGAUGUUAGCCAAUAAGCAUGAUCUUAAAACUAAGCCUUACUUAUUAGUUGUCAAGAUAAGCUAUAAGAUCCCACAAUGCAAUAUAUGAACUAAUAGUCUUUAUCCCACUCUAACAAGCAGCCAAUCAUAACCGGGAAUCUACAAAUCUAAAGAAUGGCUUCAAAAAGGCAUGAGGACUUUUUCAUUAAAUGUUCACCUACUUGACAAGUCCACACGAUGAUGAUGAUACGUACGUCUACGAGUAAAUUAUGAUGAUACAGACAAGUCAAUGCAACUAACAGCGCAUUCAAUAUCGGAUAAUCAUUGAUGCACAAUAAUAA